rnacentral:rRNA from 1 species
CCUACGGGAGGCAGCAGUGAGGAAUAUUGGUCAAUGGACGAGAGUCUGAACCAGCCAAGUAGCGUGAAGGAUGACUGCCCUAUGGGUUGUAAACUUCUUUUAUAUGGGAAUAAAAUGUUCCACGUGUGGGAUUUUGUAUGUACCAUAUGAAUAAGGAUCGGCUAACUCCGUGCCAGCAGCCGCGGUAAUACGGAGGAUCCGAGCGUUAUCCGGAUUUAUUGGGUUUAAAGGGAGCGUAGGUGGAUUGUUAAGUCAGUUGUGAAAGUUUGCGGCUAAACCGUAAAAUUGCAGUUGAAACUGGCAGUCUUGAGUACAGUAGAGGUGGGCGGAAUUCGGGGUGUAGCGGUGAAAUGCUUAGAUAUCACGAAGAACUCCGAUUGCGAAGGCAGUUCACUGGACUGCAACUGACACUGAGGCUCGAAAGUGUGGGUAUCAAACAGGAUUAGAUACCCGAGUAGUC